rnacentral:snRNA from 1 species
GUGCUCACUUCGCUUUGGUAGCACAUAUACUAAAAUUGGAAUGAUACAGAGAAGAGUAGCAUGGCCCCUGCACAAGGAUGACAUGCAAAUUUGUGAAGUGUUCCAUAUUUUU